GAUGAACGCUGGCGGCGUGCUUAACACAUGCAAGUCGAACGAUGAAGCCCAGCUUGCUGGGUGGAUUAGUGGCGAACGGGUGAGUAACACGUGAGUAACCUGCCCUUGACUCUGGGAUAAGCCUGGUCAACUGGGUCUAAUACUGGAUAUGACUUCUCAUCGCAUGGUGGGGGGUGGAAAGAUUUAUUGGUCUUGGAUGGACUCGCGGCCUAUCAGCUUGUUGGUGAGGUAAUGGCUCACCAAGGCGACGACGGGUAGCCGGCAUGUGAGGGUGACCGGGCACACUGGGACUGAGACACGGACCAGACUCCUACGGGAGGCAGCAGUGGGGAAUAUUGCACAAUAGGCGCAAGCCUGAUGCAGCGACGCCGCGUGAGGGAUGACGGCCUUCGGGGUGUAAACCUCUUUCAGUAGGGAAGAAGCGAGAGUGACGGUACCUGCAGAAGAAGCGCCGGCUAACUACGUG
rnacentral:rRNA from 1 species